UAUGACAUCUCUGUAUCUCAGUUCUCAUUUCUGAAAGUUGAGUUUAUAUAUGAUCAUUCUCUUAUAAUCUCAUUCCUUGCCUCCAGGUUCAAAUGGAAUACUCUGGCUAUCAUUCACUGUUCAUGCCUUGAAUAUAAGAAUACAGAUUGGGGGCAAGAUGGCGAAAGAGUAGGGUCCCCAAGUCACCUGUCCCGACCAAGUUACCUAGAUAAUUUUCAAAUCAUCUUGAAAACCUACGAAUUUGGCCUGAGAUUUAAAGAGAGAACAGCUGGAACGCUACAGAGAGAAGAGUUCGG
rnacentral:lncRNA from 1 species